GCGGCGUGCCUAAUACAUGCAAGUCGAGCGAACUGAUUAGAAGCUUGCUUCUAUGACGUUAGCGGCGGACGGGUGAGUAACACGUGGGCAACCUGCCUGUAAGACUGGGAUAACUCCGGGAAACCGGAGCUAAUACCGGAUAACAUUUUCUCUUGCAUAAGAGAAAAUUGAAAGAUGGUUUCGGCUAUCACUUACAGAUGGGCCCGCGGUGCAUUAGCUAGUUGGUGAGGUAACGGCUCACCAAGGCAACGAUGCAUAGCCGACCUGAGAGGGUGAUCGGCCACACUGGGACUGAGACACGGCCCAGACUCCUACGGGAGGCAGCAGUAGGGAAUCUUCCGCAAUGGACGAAAGUCUGACGGAGCAACGCCGCGUGAGUGAUGAAGGCUUUCGGGUCGUAAAACUCUGUUGUUAGGGAAGAACAAGUACAAGAGUAACUGCUUGUACCUUGACGGUACCUAACCAGAAAGCCACGGCUAACUACGUGCCAGCAGCCGCGGUAAUACGUAGGUGGCAAGCGUUAUCCGGAAUUAUUGGGCGUAAAGCGCGCGCAGGCGGUUUCUUAAGUCUGAUGUGAAAGCCCACGG
rnacentral:rRNA from 2 species